AUCAAGAAGAACAACUGUUCUAUCGAUCAUUCAUUAUUUGCUAUGGCAACUAAAAAAAAUAAAAAUCAAUCAUCACAAAUGGGAACCGUCGAAAAAUCGUCAAACAACGAUGCAUCGGUGACUGACGACAUCCGCAGUGCUGAAUAUUAUCACGGAAUGGUACCACGUCAGGAUGCGGAAGGAUUCUUGAAGCGAGAAGGCGAUUUUCUUGUUCGGAAGACUGAGCAAAUGCCAGGAAAAGUUGUGUUGGCGAUGUCUGUGAGGGUAACCGAUGAGUUGUGCCGCCACUUCAUGCUCAAUAUGGACCCGACAAGCAAUAAGUUCUACUUUGAGCACACUCAUCAAGAGAGCACAAUUUCAGAACUUAUCAAUUGGCACAUGACCACCAAAACUCCCAUCUCAGCUGCUUCUGGAGCAAAGAUCCGCCGUCCAAUGGAGCGAUCCCCUUGGCUUAUCAAUCAUGACAGCAUCGUUGCAAACAAGAAACUCGGCGAAGGUGCAUUUGGUGAUGUUUUUAUCGCUGAGCUUGAUCAAGGUGGAAAACAGGAAGUCGCUGUGAAGACAAUGCGUGCCGAAGCAACACGUGAAGCUCGGCUCCGUUUCAUGAAGGAAGCUCGUUUGAUGAGAAAAUAUCAGCACAAGCAUGUGGUGAAAUUGAUUGGAGUGGCAAUUCAUGAACAUCCAUUGAUGAUUGUGAUGGAAUAUUGUCCAAAUGGUUCAUUGUUGAGUCAUUUGAAGAAGAACAAAGUAUCUUUGAUUGAAAAACUGAGAUUCACGACUGAAGCUGCCGACGGAAUCGCAUACUUGGAGAGAUCUAAGUGCAUUCACCGUGACAUCGCUGCUAGAAAUUGCCUUUUGUCAGCGAAAAAUGAGCUGAAAAUCUCUGAUUUCGGAAUGUCGGAUAACAAGGAUGAGAUUAAGGAUGAAACCCUUGAAAAGGUUCCCAUUAAGUGGUUGGCACCAGAGACAAUGCAGGAGAAAGUGUACACUCAUAAGACUGAUAUCUGGACAUUCGGAGUUCUCGUUUGGGAGAUUUAUUCUGAUGGAGCUGAGCCAUAUCCAGGAUUGACGAAAAUUCAAACUCGUGCCAAGAUAGUUGUCAACGACUACAGAAUGAAAAUGCCAGACGGAACACAUCCAACUGUUGCUGACGUUGUAACUGGAACCUGUUGGCAGAAGAAUCCAGAGAAAAGAUCAACUAUGGAUUCAAUCCACAAGAAGCUCCGAGAGUUUUACGAAUCGAAGAAAUAG
rnacentral:misc_RNA from 1 species